CCUUGUCAGGUGGGUUAAUGUCUUAUCCAGAUGGUGGUUUGCAUCACAGACUGUUACUGUGCAGAAGGAAGUCCUUACUUAUGAGUUUCAAUUAGGUGCUGAGGAGACCAACCCUGGUGAGUUUUGUGAACUCAAGAACCAAGUGUCAUUUUCUUUUAUGGACAUGCUUCCUGACACCUGCUCAGUCCUGGUGCUCCUGCUAAUGCUCAAGAGGACCAAUGGAGACUCAGUGACCCAGACAGAAGGUCUGGUUACUGUCACAGAGGGGUCACCUGUGAUGCUGAACUGUACCUAUCAGGCUUCUUACUCAAAUUCUUUCCCUCUGUGGUAUGUACAAUAUCUCAACAAAGCCCCUCAGAGACUUCUGUGGAGCACCACAGACAACAAGAGGACAGAGCACCAAGGGUUCCACGCCACUCUCCACAAGAGCAACAGCUCCUUCCACCUGCAGAAGUCCUCAGUGCAGCUGUCGGACUCUGCCCUGUACUACUGUGCUCUGAGUGACACAGCGAGGGAGACUGCAAGGGAAGCUGCACAAAAACCAAAGGUGCAGGAGGGCUGA